UGUGCGAAUAUUGCACAAUGGGUGAAACCGUGAUGCACCUCAUGCUGCGUGUAUGAAGAAGGACUUCUGGUUGUAAAGCACUUUCACCGAGGAAGUAAAGGUUGUCUUCCUAAUACUUGUCAACUGUGACGAUGACUCGCAGAAUACCCCCGGCUUACUUCGUGAC
rnacentral:rRNA from 1 species